CGCUCUCGCGGGAAGAAGAGGAAGGAGUCGAGUCAGAAAGGGGAGCGACUCACUGAGAAACAGCGACGGAAAAUUCGCUCCAAGGCCAUCAUCUCCUCUAGUGAAGACUCAGAUUCGGAUGGCGGGAAGAAACUUAAAAUUGCGGCUAGCAGUGGAAGUGAGGAUGAGGCUGCAGAAGGUGUGGGUAAAAGAAGGAGGAUAAUGUCAGACAGUGAGAGUGAUGCUGGCAGUAGAAAAUCUGGUUCAAAGUCACGAUCUCGCAGCCGGUCAGGAUCGAGGAGUCGAUCCAGGAGUCGCUCUGGUUCAAGGAGGUCAGGAAGUGCAGCAAGCAGGAAGUCAGGAUCCAGAUCUCGAUCCAGAUCUGGAUCCCGUUCCAGGUCUCGCUCCAGAUCACGCUCCGGGUCUCGGUCACCUUCCCGAUCCAGAUCAAGGUCACGAUCUGUUUCCAAAUCCAGAUCAAGAUCUGGCAGCAGAUCCAGAAGUGGAUCUCCAGCCAGAAGUGGAAGUGGGUCACCAGCCAGAAGUGGAAGUGGGUCACCAGCUAGAAGUGGAAGUGGGUCACCAGCUAGAAGUGGAAGUGGGUCACCAGCCAGAUCAAGGUCUGCUUCCAGGUCACGAUCCAGAUCUAGGUCCGGCAGUCCAGCUAGAAGUGGAAGUCCAGGAUCUGGAGGUCAAAGGUCACCAGCAAAUUCUAACAGUGGAAAUGAAAGCGAUUAAAUAUUAACAUUUACUCUGAACAAAUACACAUGCAUAUACUUGCAAAAAUGAACUUAUAUCUGAAAAUCAUCCAGAUUAUUCUUAUAACUAAAGAAGAGAUAUUUGUUGCAGCAAAGAGUAACAGAGUAUAGGUUGUUGUGUUGAAUACAAAAUUUAAUGCUGUUAUUCAUCAAAUUGAAUGCAUAAAAAUAAGUGUUAUGAAAUCAUUAAAAAGUAUUGAUUUGAGCAAGUUACUAAUUUAUCAUUUUUUAGGUUUUGUAACAGCUGUGCAUUGUUUUUGUAAUCAUCAGAAUGUUCAAAGCUUACAUAUUGUUGUAUAUUCAUAUUGAAACUGGUUUUGAUUUUCAAAAUAAAUUGUAGCAUAGAAUCAAACACUG
rnacentral:misc_RNA from 1 species